rnacentral:rRNA from 1 species
GAUGAACGCUGGCGGCGUGCCUAAUACAUGCAAGUCGAGCGAACGGACGAGAAGCUUGCUGCUCUGAUGUUAGCGGCGGACGGGUGAGUAACACGUGGAUAACCUACCUAUAAGACUGGGAUAACUUCGGGAAACCGGAGCUAAUACCGUAUAAUAUUUUGAACCGCGGGGUUCAAAAGUAAAAGAUGGUCUUGCGGUCACUUCUAGAUGCAUCCGCGCUGCAUUAGAUAGUUGGUAAGGUAACGGCUUACCAAGGCAACGAUGCAUAGCGGACCUGAGAGGGUGAUCGGCCACACUGGAACUGAGACACGGUCCAGACUCCUACGGGAGGCAGCAGUAGCGAAUCUUCCGCAAUGGGCGAAAGCCUGACGGAGCAACGCCGCGUGAGUGAUGAAGGUCUUCGGAUCGUAAAACUCUGUUAUUAGGGAAGAACAUAUGUGUACGUAAAUGUGCACAUCUUGACGGUACCUAAUCAGAAAGCCCCGGCUAACUACGUG